rnacentral:rRNA from 1 species
AACGAACGCUGGCGGCAGGCCUAACACAUGCAAGUCGAACGCCCUAGCAAUAGGGAGUGGCGCACGGGUGCGUAACGCGUGGGAAUAUACCCUUGAGUAAGGAAUAACGUCUGGAAACGGACGCUAAUACCUUAUAAUGACUCCGGUCCAAAGAUUUAUCGCUCAAGGAUUAGCCCGCGUUAGAUUAGCUAGUUGGUGAGGUAAAGGCUCACCAAGGCGACGAUCUAUAGCUGGUCGAGAGGAUGAUCAGCCACACUGGGACUGAGACACGGCCCAGACUCCUACGGGAGGCAGCAGUGAGGAAUAUUGGGACAAUGGGGGCGAACCCU